UACGGAGGGUGCAAGCGUUACUCGGAAUCACUGGGCGUAAAGAGUGCGCAGGCGGGCUUGUAAGUCAGAUGUGAAAUCCUGUAGCUUAACUACAGAACUGCAUUUGAAACUGUUAUUCUAGAGUAUGGGAGAGGUAGGUGGAAUUCUUGGUGUAGGGGUAAAAUCCGUAGAGAUCAAGAGGAAUACUCAUUGCGAAGGCGACCUGCUAGAACAUAACUGACGCUGAUGCGCGAAAGCGUGGGGAGCAAACAGG
rnacentral:rRNA from 1 species